rnacentral:misc_RNA from 1 species
AAAGUCGUAACAAGGUUUCCGUAGGUGAACCUGCGGAAGGAUCAUUAACACGUAUCCAACGUUAAACCCCCGUGCAUUUUAACCCUGCUCUCUUCGCCUUGUUUGAUUCAGAGACUUCUUCGAGACGCGUGGAUGGAGCGUAGAGCAAUUAGACUUGGUUUCCGAAAGGAUAACUGAUAUUUACUCGAUCGUUGACCCUCACGGUCAGCGGACAGGUCUCUGGGCUUACGCCCCAUAUUAACCCCCAAUGUAGGUGAAAGUGCUGCGCAAAGUAGGCACAAAAACGAACAACUGUUAACAAUGGAUAUCUUGGUUCUC